ensembl:lncRNA
ACGAGGGGGAGUAGUAGCAGGCUAGUCAUCAUUAGCAACAUAGCCUCUUUAGCAAACCAGCUUCAAAACAAAACUUUACAUUGAAUUGCACGCAAAGCAAGACCGUGCAAUGCAUAUAUUGGUGACCGGAUUAAAGCAGCAAUGAAAUCAAGUGUUAUGGAAGGGGAGAUUUGGAGGUACCUGGUCAGGUCUUGGUCAGCCUUCAAAUCCCAGAUGUGGAGACUGCAGGGAUACCUCACAGAGAAGACACUAAAGAGUCAUCUCUCAUUCAUCGAGUGGACUCAUUGGUUUGCGAAUGACCACAAAGAUGCUCCCAUAGGCAGAUUGCUGCAUGGCAUUCACCACUUAUUCAAAUUGAAGAGGUUGAAGCAGUCUUCCUUGUGGUCACUUGCCAUAACAAUGUCAUGUGUUUUAUGAAAACACCAUCAGUAACAUUUAAAUUGAGUUGAUGUGGACGGCUCUUAUUUUGUCCGAUUUUUUCAGUGUUCAGUGCCUGUUUGUGAGAUAUGCAUUGUUUGAAAGAUAAGCCUUUGAUUUUGUUUAAUUUUAAUAUGCCUUUCAUCAACAGUGGUUUGGGGUUUUAUAACAACAAUUAAACUGCUUAACUACUGGUGAAC